rnacentral:rRNA from 1 species
GACGAACGCUGGCGGCGUGCCUAACACAUGCAAGUCGAGCGAAUGAAGUUCCUUCGGGAAUGGAUUUAGCGGCGGACGGGUGAGUAACACGUGGGCAACCUGCCUCAUAGAGGGGAAUAGCCUUCCGAAAGGGAGAUUAAUACCGCAUAAGAUUGUAGUAUCGCAUGAUACAGCAAUGAAAGGAGCAAUCCGCUAUGAGAUGGGCCCGCGGCGCAUUAGCUAGUUGGUGAGGUAACGGCUCACCAAGGCGACGAUGCGUAGCCGACCUGGGAGGGUGAUCGGCCACAUUGGGACUGAGACACGGCCCAGACUCCUACGGGAGGCAGCAGUGGGGAAUAUUGCACAAUGGGGGAAACCCUGAUGCAGCAACGCCGCGUGAGUGAUGACGGCCUUCGGGUUGUAAAUCUCUGUCUUCAGGGACGAUAAUGACGGUACCUGAGGAGGAAGCCACGGCUAACUACGUG